UACGUAGGGUGCGAGCGUUGUCCGGAAUUAUUGGGCGUAAAGAGCUCGUAGGCGGUGUGUCGCGUCGGCCGUGAAAACCUGGGGCUCAACUCUGGGCGUGCGGUCGAUACGGGCAUCACUGGAGUUCGGCAGGGGAGACUGGAAUUCCUGGUGUAGCGGUGAAAUGCGCAGAUAUCAGGAGGAACACCGGUGGCGAAGGCGGGUCUCUGGGCCGAUACUGACGCUGAGGAGCGAAAGCCAUGGGUAGCGAACAGG
rnacentral:rRNA from 1 species